GACGAACGCGGCGGCGUGCUUAACACAUGCAAGUCGAACGAAGAGCGAUGGAAGCUUGCUUCUAUCAAUCUUAGUGGCGAACGGGUGAGUAACGCGUAAUCAACCUGCCCUUCAGAGGGGGACAACAGUUGGAAACGACUGCUAAUACCGCAUACGAUCUAAUCUCGGCAUCGAGGAUAGAUGAAAGGUGGCCUCUACAUGUAAGCUAUCACUGAAGGAGGGGAUUGCGUCUGAUUAGCUAGUUGGAGGGGUAACGGCCCACCAAGGCGAUGAUCAGUAGCCGGUCUGAGAGGAUGAACGGCCACAUUGGGACUGAGACACGGCCCAGACUCCUACGGGAGGCAGCAGUGGGGAAUCUUCCGCAAUGGACGGAAGUCUGACGGAGCAACGCCGCGUGAGUGAUGACGGCCCUCGGGUUGUAAAGCUCUGUUAAUCGGGAC
rnacentral:rRNA from 1 species